rnacentral:lncRNA from 1 species
GGGGCUCGGCGCCGAUCCUUGAUGGAGCCCCAUAACCACAUGAAAAUAGUCUGAUUCGCCACCCACCGUCCUAACCCUAGUCUUAGCUCCAUUGUACAUGUCCUUGAUUACUCUGAUGUAGGUUUCCGGCAUGCUCUUCGCCUCCAAGCACCUCCCUUGGGACCUUGUCAUACGCCUUCUCCAAGUCGAUAAGCACCAUGUGCAUGGCAAAUAACAUACACCACGGCACGUCCCCUUGAAUAUGACGGGUAAGAGCAUCUAUCACUAAGGCAAACAAGAGGGGGCUCAGCGCCGAACCUUGAUGGAGCCCCGUAACCACUGGAAAACGGCCUGAUUCACCACCCACCUUCUUAACCCUAGUCUUAGCUCCAUUGUACAUGUCCUUGAUUACUCCGAUGUAGGCUUCCGGCACGCUCUUCGUCUCCAAGCACCUCCACAGCACCUCCCUUGGGACUUUGUCAUACGCCUUCUCCAAGUCGAUAAGCACCAUGUGUAGG